rnacentral:rRNA from 1 species
GACGAACGCUGGCGGCGUGCCUAAUACAUGCAAGUAGAACGCACAGUUUAUACCGUAGCUUGCUACACCAUAGACUGUGAGUUGCGAACGGGUGAGUAACGCGUAGGUAACCUGCCUGGUAGCGGGGGAUAACUAUUGGAAACGAUAGCUAAUACCGCAUAAUAUUGAUUAUUGCAUGAUAAUUGAUUGAAAGAUGCUAUUGCAUCACUACCAGAUGGACCUGCGUUGUAUUAGCUAGUAGGUGAGGUAACGGCUCACCUAGGCGACGAUACAUAGCCGACCUGAGAGGGUGAUCGGCCACACUGGGACUGAGACACGGCCCAGACUCCUACGGGAGGCAGCAGUAGGGAAUCUUCGGCAAUGGACGAAAGUCUGACCGAACAACGCCGCGUGAGUGAAGAAGGUUUUCGGAUCGUAAAGCUCUGUUGUAAGAGAAGAACGGGUGUGAGAGUGGAAAGUUCACACUGUGACGGUAUCUUACCAGAAAGGGACGGCUAACUACGUG